AAAUUGAAGAGUUUGAUCAUGGCUCAGAUUGAACGCUGGCGGCAGGCCUAACACAUGCAAGUCGAACGGUAACAGGAAGCAGCUUGCUGCUUCGCUGACGAGUGGCGGACGGGUGAGUAAUGUCUGGGAAACUGCCUGAUGGAGGGGGAUAACUACUGGAAACGGUGGCUAAUACCGCAUAACGUCGCAAGACCAAAGAGGGGGAUCUUCGGGCCUCUUGCCAUCAGAUGUGCCCAG
rnacentral:rRNA from 1 species